CGCCCAAGCGCAGCCGCAUGGUCAUCGGUGUGCUGCUGGCCACCGGCAUGGUGCUGACCCAGAUCGUCGGCGGCCUGAAGAGCAGGGAGUACAUCCACCUGUGGCCCGCCGCCGUGCUCACCUCCGCGCUCAUGCUGCUGACCGGCUGCAUGAACGCGGAUCAGGCGCGCAAGGCCAUCUACUGGGAUGUCUACCUGACCAUUGCCGCGGCCUUUGGCGUGUCGGCCGCGCUGGAGGGCACGGGUGUGGCUGCGUCCUUCGCCAACGGUAUCAUCUCCAUCGGCAAGAACCUGCACAGCGACGGCGCGGCUCUCAUUGCCAGUGAGUGGGAAGGCCAGUACAGGCUGUCACGUAACAAGGAGGCCCACUUCGUACACGACGGCAGGGGUAUGUUCAGCUGGUUGCAACUGCCGCAAGCGUCGUCUUUGGUUCGCACCUGCCUCGGACUUCAUGUACACUUCUAACAAGCUCUCACCCCGCUCAUGCCUCGUCCCCUCGCCUUCGCCUUCCCCAACGCGCAGUUUACAUUGCCAGUGAGUCGGGUACAGGAUACGCUGUAGCAUGUGUCGCAUGGUGCCCUUUGAAAGCCCCACAGGUUUAUGCCAUAGGCUCAUAGUCAGUUCAGCAGCAGCAGUGUAGCCUGUCACAACCGGGUUGCAACUUCCUGAUUAUAAUUUCUCCCUUCCACCUGGCCCCUGAACAGCUGCGAUGUUGUCCGAGCUGCUGACCAACAAUGCCGCCGGCGCCAUCAUGUACCCCAUCGCCGCCAUUGCGGGUGAGAAACGUGGGCAGGCGUGGGUAGGCUUGUGGAGAAGGAAGCAACAGGAGCGCAAUGCCCGUGUGAGCGCGUUACACCAUCUGCCGCAAUUCAAUGGGUUCGCGCGCUAAACCACCAUCCAAUUCCCUGAACAGGUGACGCGCUCAAGAUCUCACCCAAGGAGACCUCUGUGGCCAUCAUGCUGGGCGCCUCGGCCGGCUUCAUCAACCCCUUCUCCUACCAGUGCAACCUGAUGGUGUACGCUGCUGGCAACUAUAGCGUGCGCGAGUUCGCCAUCAUUGGCGCCCCGUUCCAAAUAUGGCUCAUGAUUGUCGCGGGCUUCAUCCUGUGCUACAUGAAGGAAUGGCACCAGGUGCGGAUUGGUACAUAAGACUCCAUUAAGAUGCCUCCGCAAAUGCAUGCAGAUGGUGGGCAUUGUGAUUGGUAACCCGCUCAGGGCCAACGGCGAUGCAGAAGCCGGCGUGCUCACCUUCCAUCUGAUGAUCUCCCGACCCCCCGUGUCCUGUAGGUCUGGAUCGUGUCCUGGAUCUGCACCGCCGGCAUCGUCCUCCUGCCGGCCCUGUAUUUCCUGCUGCCGACCAAGGUUCAGCUCCGCAUCGAUGCAUUCUUCGAUCGGGUGGCGCAGACCCUGAACCCCAAGCUCAUUAUUGAGCGCCGCAACUCGAUCCGCCGCCAGGCCUCGCGCACCGGCUCUGACGGCACCGGCAGCUCAGAUAGCCCCAGGGCACUUGGCGUGCCAAAGGUCAUCACAGCGUAAUGACCUCGCCAAAUCCUAUUCACAAUAACGUGUACGGGGCGUGGGGUAUGGUGAUGAUGAUGACGUGUUGAACAUGUCUGUUUCGAUGUGUGUGUCAAAGUUGUUGUGCUUGGGUGUGACGUAGGCAGGCUUGGUGAUGUGCAGGAGGAUGUUUCGUAAACCCUUGAUCAUUGGUUGGAAGGACCUGGCAUGGAAGGUGCCGGGGCAUUCCGAGAUGAAUCGCGAGGCGUGUGCAGAGUGGAGCCUGUCGGUCAUAGAGUGUCGGGCAGGCCAUAAAACCGGGCUGCACUGGUUUGGCGCUCUCGAUGCAUGGAUAAAAGAUGGCAAGGGCUUCAAAAUGUGUAGAGCUUAGGGCAGUUUGGUCGCUUUUGUGCACUACUAUGGCCUCUCCGGCCUGGCACGCGCAUUUACUACUGUCGAUCGGGCCGCCACUUGUGUACUGAAAGCACACUGCAUAGUUACUGUUUGUAUUAAUUUCGGACGGUCCCAACUUGAGACAAAGAAGUUGCGCGGACCGAGUGCCGCUUUUUCUUCAAAAGACAAAUGGCCGCGAUAGGAUGGCCCGGCAUCGUCGCGAUCAUCAGUGUCGCGAUAUCGUUCAUCAUCAUGGCCGCGGACUGGGUUAGUGCGCGGGCUCGGGGGGUGGGGGUCAGGUGUGGACGGUGUGUUAACGGAUUGCAAAUGGCUUUUGCAAAAUGUUUAACGAUGCUGUGUUGCUGGCACUUGGCAGACUUUGUCGCAAACUCGCUUGCUGCAAGCGGAAGAGCGCUGAAAGCUGAGAGUACCCGCGAACGGUCUCUCCCCACGCGAUGAGCUCACGCUGUAAUUAAAGCGAUAAGCAAGUGCUAUUGCUAUUGUCUAAAGAAUAUGUUUCCUGGCUUGAGAAGGGAACACUGUGCCGCCCCCAGCGCCAGCUCCGGUUGCCCCGGUUCGCAGAGCCGGCAACUGUGCAUACACGUAACUGUGCACAUUGCCCCGCCCUCAUCUUAGAAAAGCGCCCGGUGAUCCCAGAAGAGUCCGUGGAUAACACUACGGGUAUCGAUCUUGUCGCUCAUGUGCAAUAAUGCGUCUUGUGGUCCCAUUCGUGGGAGCAGCCAGUAAUCGAGCUGGGAACUUUCUUGAUCCCUGGACAGGUCGGCCCUGACAUAACCUUCACGAUCCUGCUUUCAUGGUUAACAGCUUUCGAUGGUAAGCAGAGAUAAUGUUCUUUCGGCUGCCGCUUGAGGGAUGGCCGGGGACAGGAGAGUACGGCGGUAGCGGGGUCUCAUCAACGUGCCCAGCUUCGAGUGCCCAUGUACAUGCCAAACUAGCACGCACGGCAACCUCUUGAGUUUUACGCAUGGCCAUGGCACACUGUGGCCGUAAAUCUGAAUGCCAUACAUAGGUAAAAUCAUCACAGUUGCCAAAGCCGCGGCGGGCUACGGCAACACUGGCCUCCUUACCGUCAUCUUUCUGUACUGGGUGGCAGAGGGCGUUACGCAGACCGGAGGUAAGACCUGGAUUGGCGUCGUUAGCUGUGGUUGGGGUGCCAUUGCUGGAGCUUAUGGCAUGAAUGCAUGCUUGAUAACUUCAGCUCAACGGUGGCGGCCCAGUCAGUGGAGGCUGGAUGCAGCAUUGCCCUACCUCUCCCCCCGCAUAUCUUGACGAGUGUUGCGGAACUAGAUAAUGCGUACGUAGACCAGAGCGGAAGACGGAGUGGGCUUGCAGGCGGCACGAGAGUAGGCAGUCAGUAGCGCAAGUUGCGAAUUCACAUGUUACCUCGUAACCGACGGUAAACGCUGUGGACGGUCGCGCCCAUGGCUGGCUGACGGAAGGUGGCUGCUGUAUUGGGAUGGCUGGGCUGGACGACGGCGGCCGGGCUGGCGUUGGGACUACCAGAAAGGAUGCGCCCAAAACCAACCUGGAUAUCUAUAGGUCACCCUUGCUCUCCUUCCCUGCAUCACACAGGUCUAGAGCUAGUCAUGAACUACGUCCUGGGCCGCUCCCGGUCAGUGCACUGGGCGUUGGUGCGCUCAAUGUUCCCCGUGAUGGUCUUGUCCGCGUUCCUGAACAACACCCCGUGCGUCACCUUCAUGAUCCCCAGUAAGUGACACGGCCUGGGAACAACAUAUUCAAAGCUGCCCUACAUUACGGCAGCAGACGAACGGCCGAUGCAGGCAACCUCCGGCGGGGUCAUUUGGGAAGCCCUGCCAGGGAGGGGGCUAGGCUCGAUGUACCGUACAGAAAGCGCUGUUGAUCCAGUUCUCUGCUCAUCCUUGCUCCCCUGCAGUCCUGAUGUCCUGGGCUCGGCGCUGCGGCGUGCCGCCUAAGAAGCUGCUCAUUCCGCUGUCGUACGCGGCCGUGCUGGGUGGCACAUGCACUUCCAUCGGUACCUCCACCAACCUGGUCAUCGUGGGCAUGCAAGACACGCGUUACAACAAGCAGGUGAGGGCACGAAUUUAGCACAUGCCGUCCACCAACUACGUGCAUUUGUGCUGCUGCGUCUGCAUUCCAACCGCAUCCAUCCCAUCGGAUGUGCCCUUAACCCUAUGCAGAACAAGGAGGAUGAGGCCAAGUUCGGCAUGUUUGACAUUGCGCCGUACGGAGUGCCGUACGCGCUCAUGGGCUUUGUCUUCAUCAUCCUAACGCAACGGUUCCUGCUGCCGGGCAACAGCUCGCGCUACGCUAAGGACCUGCUCAUUGCUGUGCGCGUGCUGCCCAGCUCUCCGGUCGUUAAGAAGAAGCUCAAGGACUCGGGCUUGCGCACACAGACUGGAUUCAGUUUGGCGGGGCUGUGGCGUGGUGGUGCCAUGACCAGGUACGGACCCACCAGGAAUCUUGUGUGUGCGAGAUGUGCUGCGGCAUGCAGGGCUCCCUGAGCCGCUUUGUGCUUGCUCGCUCGUGCGCACCCAGCGCCUGCUUGUGACCACCAUCCAGCAAUCCAGCAACGAGCCCACGACACGUCGUGCCUGCAGGCAGGUGGAUCCCGAUACGGUGCUGGAGGCCAACGACAUCCUGUACUGCGCCGGUAAGUUUUUGGGGUUUCUCGUGCAAACCCCAGCACAUCCCGCCGCGCCGGUGUGGCCUUGCAUGAUCUCCCUUGCGCAUUAGCAGAAGGAAGAUUAAUCAGGACUGCAACAUAGAUGAGGGUGCAUCCGGGUGCUGUAUGUGCAAGUGACUUGCCAAGCGAUAUUCACGGGCUUCAAUCCUUCGCGCCUUCCUGCAGGCGAGCUGGACGUGGUGGAGUUCGUGGGCGAGGAGUUUGGCUUGGGCCUGGUGACCGCGGUGCGUAUCCACCAUAGCGCCCGGCACGUACCACCUGUGGGGCUGGCGCGGGGUAGUGUUCGUGAGUGCCACCUGUGUAUGUGCGCGCCUGUGCAACAGAGGCAGGGUUUGCGGUAGCGCGCAUUGCGUUCGUGUGCCCGCCCGUCGAGCAAGCUUGUCCCUCUGCUGUUUAUGCCCGCACUUUUCAAACGCCAGGAGACGGAGCGUGCCCUGACUGACGGCCAGGCCGUGGGCGACAGCGAGGCGACCGCAUUCCACGACACCGGCGCCUCUCCCUACAAGAAACUGGUGCAGGUGGGUGCGGCGCGGGAUCCCCAUACUUGUGAGGCAGCAGCCAAACAAUGAAUCUAAGCAUACGGCGGCAAACUUGGUUGUCAAGCGUUAUCACAGUCGUAGUUCUACCCUGUGCGGCCUAGCGUGUAAGUUACACGGGCGCUUCCUGCAGGUCACAAUGACGAAGACCGCCGACUUGGUCGGCCGCACCGUGCGCGAGGUAUCGUGGCAGGGCCGCUUCGGUCUCAUCCCCGUGGCCAUCCAGCGCGGCAACGGCCGUGAGGACGGGCGCCUGAACGAUGUGGUGCUGGCCGCCGGCGACGUGCUCAUCCUGGACACCAGUGAGUAGCUAGAUAGGGCGGGGCGGCACGGCCCAUGGCACGUGCGUGGGCCCGCGGCGGGUCCUGGGCGGGCGGGUGCGCACAAUCGCAACCCACGCUGGAUGGUUGACACACGCACGUGGUGUUUUCGAUCUCCAGCAUCCUUGGUACGCGUAUUAUACGUGUCAUUCUAUUGAUGACUGCAUGCACCGCACGUUUCCUGCGACCCUGCCCAUGCUGCCUGCUUGCCUUACUCCUGCCACAGCCCCUCACUUCGACGAAGCACGCGACGACUUCAAGAUCAACUUUGAGAAGCUGAGAUUCGUGAAGGACGGCGCCGCCAAGGAGUUUGUGAUUGGCGUCAAGGUCAAGAAGAACUCGGAAGUAGUGAACAAAACGGUCACCGCCGGUGAGGACACGUUUGCGAGCCCCACCCACGUGCCCCACGGUUGGCUGCUGAGUGCGGGCAUGUUGGCAGUGACGCAUGCGUGUGUACGGUAUGCCUGGACCGCCUGGCACAGCGCUGACUAAUGACUGCUACCCCUUGGCUUUUCGCAGCCGGUCUUCGUGGAGUGCCCGGCCUGUUCGUGCUGUCCGUGGACCGCGCUGACGGCAGCAGUGUGGACGCCUCUGACUACCUGUACAAAAUCCAGCCCGUGAGUGCUGGUAACUGCCGGUGUUGGUUCCGGCUCCCGGGCGCCAUACCACAUUCCUUGCAUUUGCUCGCAUAUGCUCACCCGAUGAUUAACGGGUGCCAUCAGUAUUUGUUCUUAGCACCUGCUAAUUGCCUUGUUGCACAGGGUGACACCCUUUGGCUGGCGGCGGACGUGGGCGCCGUGGGCUUCCUGUCUAAGUUCCCUGGCCUGGAGCUGGUGCAGCAGGAGCAAGUGGACAAGACCGGCACCUCCAUCCUCUACCGCCACCUGGUGCAGGCGGCCGUGAGCCACAAGGGCCCACUGGUCGGCAAGACUGUGCGCGACGUCCGCUUCCGCACCCUGUACAAUGCGGCCAUCGUGGCCGUGCACCGCGAGGGCGUGCGCGUGCCGCUCAAGGUAACAGGAAGCAAGCUCAACUGUGCCGCCGGUAAUAGUUCUCUGUGCUGACACAGGUACACGCGCACCUUGCAUACUACGCUUGACGCCUAUGGUGCCAGCAGUGGGGUUGUGCCACGGGGUUCACCUUCUUGCUGGUGCGUGUACGUGCGCGCGGUUCCUACCCCACAGGUCCAGGACAUCGUGCUGCAGGGCGGCGACGUGCUCCUGAUCAGCUGCCACACUAAGUGGGCUGAGGAGCACCGCAUGGACAAGGCGUUUGUGCUGGUGCAGGCGGUUCCCGACUCUUCGCCGCCCAAGCGCGGCCGCAUGGCCAUCGGUGUGCUGCUGGUUGUGGGCAUGGUGCUUACACAGAUUGUGGGCGGCCUGAAAGAGAAGGAGUACAUCCACCUGUGGCCCGCCGCCGUGCUCACUGCUGCGCUCAUGCUGCUGACCGGCUGCAUGAACGCGGAUCAGGCGCGCAAGGCCAUCAUGUGGGAUGUCUAUCUGACCAUUGCCGCGGCCUUUGGCG
rnacentral:lncRNA from 1 species